ensembl:lncRNA PPP1R3B-DT PPP1R3B divergent transcript
AUGAAGGUUGAGCUCCGAUGGCCAACGGCCAUUUCCACCUUGUGGUCUACAACUCUUCAUCCCGACUGCAUGGAGGUUGGUCUCUCUCUUCAGCUGGAUUUAGGCCACCAUCUGAGCCCCCGGGGUACGUUUUGUCUGACCCUGGCGCCAUUCGAACGGUUCUUCUACAGCAUCAGGCGUUCACCUGGCUCCUAGGGCUUUUGUGCUGUAGGCCUAUAUUUCCAGCUACUUUUGGAAAAAAUCUCUCUGGAGGCUCAAUGAGCUUGUCACAUCAGCCUGCCCAGAGUAUCAAGAAAGACUUAAUCAGCAGUGAAUACUCUCCACCAAGCCCUUGACCCAUUGUCAGUCUCUGGCAUCAGAUCCUUUCCAGUAGGGCAAAGUGCAACUGCAGCCAGCUCAUGCCUUCAAGAGAAGGACUGAAGAUCAUUGUGUGCCUAAACCAAGUGAUUUCCCCCUUUUGCUCUGCAGUUCUCUUUCCUGCCACCAUGUGAAGAAGGACAUGUUUGCUUCCCCUUCUGCCAUGAAUGGACAGGGUCCUGCUGUGUUGCCCAGGCUGGCCUUGAACUCCUGGCUUCAAACAGUCUUCCCACUUGGGCUCCCAAAGUGCUGGGAUUAAAGGGGCGAGUUACAGCACCAGGACCUGAAAUGAAAAACAUGGCCAGCAAAGCAGGUGAGGCAAAGAUCAGGAAGGACAUUAAACGCCAAACUAAGGAGCGGAACUGAAUGAGCAGUGAAGGGGAACAAUGGCUUCAGCAGGUCCACUGGGCUCCUCUUUUCUGUCAGCCUCCCCCUACCCCUCACCUCUGUACUACUCAUGUUACUAUCUACGUCUCUUCACCAAUGUCAUUGUGGAAAUAAAAGCUUAUCUGUAAGAGUA